GAUGAACGCUGGCGACGUGCCUAAUACAUGCAAGUAGAACGCUGAAGCUUGGUGCUUGCACCGAGCGGAUGAGUUGCGAACGGGUGAGUAACGCGUAGGUAACCUGCCUCUUAGCGGGGGAUAACUAUUGGAAACGAUAGCUAAUACCGCAUAAAAGUCGAUAUCGCAUGAUAUUGAUUUGAAAGGUGCAAUUGCAUCACUAAGAGAUGGACCUGCGUUGUAUUAGCUAGUUGGUGAGGUAACGGCUCACCAAGGCGACGAUACAUAGCCGACCUGAGAGGGUGAUCGGCCACACUGGGACUGAGACACGGCCCAGACUCCUACGGGAGGCAGCAGUAGGGAAUCUUCGGCAAUGGGGGCAACCCUGACCGAGCAACGCCGCGUGAGUGAAGAAGGUUUUCGGAUCGGAAAGCUCUGUUGUAAGAGAAGAACGAGUGUGAGAGUGGAAAGUUCACACUGUGACGGUAACUUACCAGAAAGGGACGGCUAACUACGUG
rnacentral:rRNA from 1 species